CCCUUAGAUGUCCUGGGCCGCACGCGCGCUACACUGAGUGUCUGAGAUACGAGUCUGCCUGGUCCGGCAAGGUCUAGGUAAUCGCUAAAAGACACAUCAUGCUUGGGAUAGAUUAUUGCAAAUAUUAAUCUUGAACGAGGAAUUCCUAGUAAGCGCAAGUCAACAACUUGCGUUGAUUACGUCCCUGCCCUUUGUACACACCGCCCGUCGCUACUACUGAUUGGAUGUUUAAGCGAGGUUCUCGAACUGCUAGCGACUUAGCUUCGGUGAGGUCGCAGUGUGGGAAGUGAACCUAGCUUUGGUGUCUAGAGGAAGUAAAAGUCGUAACA
rnacentral:rRNA from 1 species